rnacentral:lncRNA from 1 species
GUGGUGCGCGACGUGCGUGUCCGUGAUGUUGUGGAACACGCGGUUGAGGAUGCCGUAGUCGCGGUCCAUGGUGGCCAGCGCCCCGCGCAGCCAGUCCCACUCGCUCGAGUCGUAGUGCGGGAGCGCCGGGUGGGUGUGCUGCAGGUAGGUGAUGAGCACCAGCCACGCGUUCACGAUCAGCAGCGGCACGGCGUAGAUGCGCACCACCCACCAGAAUCCGAACGUCGCCGCCAGCUUGUACAGCCCGAACGACACGGCCAUGACGCCGGCGUCAGAGAUGAAGAUCUGCAUGCGCUCCCGGUCGUUGUAGAUCGGGCCGUAGGGGUCGUAGUGGCAGGCGAAGCGCGGGUAGGGGCGCCCCGACGCGUUGGUCGUCAGGUACAGCGGCCACCCGAGGGUGAGCUGCACGACGAUGUGCAGCAGCCGGCCGACGGGGUUGUUGUACACGUACGGGGUGUACCACGGCAUAGCUUCCUUCUUCUUGGGGACGAACACCUCGUCACGCUCCAGGGAGCCCGUGUUCGAGUGGUGGCGCCGGUGGCUGUACUUCCAUGAGAAGUACGGCACCAUCAGCGACGAGUGCAGCACCAGGCCGACGAUGUCGUCGAGGAGCUGGUAGUCGGAGAAGGCAUG